GUAUGCAAUCUACCUUUUGCAGAGGGAUAGCCCAGAGAAAUUUGGAUUAAUACCUCAUAGUAUAGUACUUUGGCAUCAAGGAACUAUUAAAGUCACAACGGCAAAAGAUGAGCAUGCGUCCCAUUAGCUAGUUGGUAAGGUAACGGCUUACCAAGGCUACGAUGGGUAGGGGUCCUGAGAGGGAGAUCCCCCACACUGGUACUGAGACACGGACCAGACUCCUACGGGAGGCAGCAGUGAGGAAUAUUGGACAAUGGGCGCAAGCCUGAUCCAGCCAUGCCGCGUGCAGGAUGACGGUCCUAUGGAUUGUAAACUGCUUUAUACAGGAAGAAACACUCCGACGUGUCGGAGCUUGACGGUACUGUAAGAAUAAGGAUCGGCUAACUCCGUG
rnacentral:rRNA from 1 species